rnacentral:rRNA from 1 species
AUUGAACGCUGGCGGCAUGCCUAACACAUGCAAGUCGAACGGCAGCACGGUCUAGCUUGCUAGACUGGUGGCGAGUGGCGCACGGGUGAGUAAUGCGUAGGAAUAUGCCUUGAAGUGGGGGAUAACUUGGGGAAACUCAAGCUAAUACCGCAUAAUCUCUAAGGAGGAAAGCUGGGGACCUUCGGGCCUGGCGCUUUAAGAUUAGCCUACGUCCGAUUAGCUAGUUGGUAGGGUAAAGGCCUACCAAGGCGACGAUCGGUAGCUGGUCUGAGAGGAUGAUCAGCCACACUGGGACUGAGACACGGCCCAGACUCCUACGGGAGGCAGCAGUGGGGAAUAUUGGACAAUGGGGGCAACCCUGAUCCAGCGAUGCCGCGUGUGUGAAGAAGGCCUACGGGUUGUAAAGCACUUUCGGUGGGGAGGAGGAUUCAUAGGUUAAGAGCUAAUGGAUUGGACGUUACCCACAAAAGAAGCACCGGCUAACUCCGUGCCAGCCGCCGCCGUAACAC